GCCUCCCCUGCCGCCCCCUUCGCCGCCUCCCCAGCCGCAGCUUGGCCGCCGCCACACCGCCUCCGCCACACUGCCACUCCGCGGGCCACCCCUCGAUUCCUUCAUCCUCUUCCCGAGCCGCUGGCGUCCAUCACGCGCCCCCUACUCUUCUCCUCCAACCUGGCCAGUCCCCACACCCGGAGCCCCUGCGGAUCGAGGCGUCUUCCACGCAGAGGACAACGCGGGGAACCUCCAUUGCCCUCCAUUCUGACGGCCGCCCUACAGUGGCCCUGACACAAUGGUUCCCUCUAUUGUUCUGAUCGAGCGACGUGUUCAUUUUUUAUAUUUUUUCUGUGGCAGAUCAUGACGACGACCCUGACAGGAGAGGAGGAGGAGGACACGGAGAAGAAGGACCGAGAGUUAGACAUGGAUGUGCACUAUGAGGCAACACGCCGCCGUGUUUGCGCCGCCAUCUUCUGAUCUCUUCAGCAUUCCUGCUGUCUUGGGUUUUCUCUACACACGCAGUGUUUAGAACGAUGCCCGCUUCAGAGUUUCAGUUCAACUCACCCAGACAGAAAAUACAUUCUAUCACUGGCUAAGCAUAGUACGAACUGGGUGGACAUGGAGUCAAGGACAUGGAACAAGGUGGCGAAAAAAUAAGUGGUUGUGGAAGCAAUGGUUUGUUUGGGGAGGUGGAGAAAGUUUUUAUGUUAUUUUUGCUAAGUCAGAACUCGGAGUCGGGACAACUCAACAAGGGAACGAGGAGCCUCAAGGGAGAUACCUGCAUAACACUAGAUGCAGUGAAGAAGGAAUCAGAAAUGUUCUUAUGUUUUAGUGGCGGAAUGGCAAGGCGGCCGGUUAGAUGACCUGGGUCCGUGGCGAGUUGGGGCUCUCGACUACAAGAAGAUCAUUGAGGCAAUCGAUAGUAGAUUUCAACAAGACUCUAUAAAGGGCUCUAAGGGAGUAGAGGAAUCAAAAGAAAACACCUGACAGUGCAAAGUGCACUUAGGCAGUAAGGUCAACACAAGACUACUCAUGAAACGCCUCCAUCAGGAGGCCAAAAUAUACACAUACGAACUCCCGGAUAUUGCAUACCGGGGAGCUUUCUUCUAUUUAGGAUUUAAGGCUGAUAAUAUGCUCACGAAAAGACAGGAAUGCAGCACCACUCCAAUCUUUAGAAGGUCCCCACCCUGUUCUGGUAUGUUUAUGCUUAUGCAUCUACAGAAUUAUUCGAUGUUAUAUUGAUGUGUGAAUGGUGUAUCCCUGUUCUGGUAUGAAAAUCGGGUUGCUAGGAAUAAUCUCCAUCAUUCCUGGGUUGUGCAUAUGUGUUGUUCUAUAUUCCCCUCUUUAUAAUGCUAUGUAUUGUGGUCAACGCUCCCAAGCUAUGAUAGCUCGCUGCUGGUAGGUUGCCGCCCUGGCCCCCACAUGCUACCAGCAUGUGUUACUGUACAUUUUGCUUUCUUACAUGUCCUGAAUUAUAUUUCAAGGAAGAUGACUAUGAUUUAUAAGCACACGAACACAUCACAAUGUCACAUAGUAAUGCCAUGUGAUGGCAAUCUAGGGUCAUUUCUGUUAGAGAAGCCCCCUACCCCCUAGCCCCAGAUAUGCGAAUUCUGAGCGUCACCACGAAUAAGUGCAGAGGAAUAGUGGGUAGACCGCAAACCCUAAAUUUCUAGCAAUUCUGAAUACAUUCAUGUGACAAUGAGGUGUCCAUGUAAUCAUGAUGUUAUAUUAGAUUUUUUAUGUUGUUAUUUCUUGCCCUGCUAGUACAACUAUGUAUACAAAACUCCAACACUGCUA